rnacentral:rRNA from 1 species
AGUGAACGCUGGCGGUAGGCCUAACACAUGCAAGUCGAACGGCAGCACAGUAAGAGCUUGCUCUUACGGGUGGCGAAUGGCGGACGGGUGAGGAAUACAUCGGAAUCUACUUUUUCGUGGGGGAUAACGUAGGGAAACUUACGCUAAUACCGCAUACGACCUACGGGUGAAAGCAGGGGAUCUUCGGACCUUGCGCGAUUGAAUGAGCCGAUGUCGGAUUAGCUAGUUGGCGGGGUAAAGGCCCACCAAGGCGACGAUCCGUAGCUGGUCUGAGAGGAUGAUCAGCCACACUGGAACUGAGACACGGUCCAGACUCCUACGGGAGGCAGCAGUGGGGAAUAUUGGACAAUGGGCGCAAGCCUGAUCCAGCCAUACCGCGUGGGUGAAGAAGGCCUUCGGGUUGUAAAGCCCUUUGUUGGGAAAGAAAAGCAGCAGGUUAAUACCCCGCUGUUCUGACGGUACCCAAAGAAUAAGCACCGGCUAACUUCGUG